GCCGGCGUGGCGGAAUUGGCAGACGCAGGGGACUUAAAAUCCCCCGAACUUGUUCGUGCCGGUUCGAUCCCGGCCGUCGGCA
rnacentral:tRNA from 1 species